rnacentral:lncRNA from 1 species
AGGGGGUCUGCUUAUAUAGUCCUUCCAAGUGAAUGUGGGCCGUUGGAUCAAACCGACAUUAAUCGCACGAUUUUCCUUGAUCCUUUAGGUCGGUGGAGCAUGAUCCGCGAAGUUGAAGCUGAUUGGCUCUGAGGCCAAGGCGGGCGCCCAAGGGGGGAGGGCGGGCACCGUGCCCCCGAGCUCGUCCGCUCUCUCGUUCAUUCCCGUGACUUCUGGACUCUUCUAGAUGUUGAAUAAUUGCGCGGCACGUUAAUAUCUCUAUGUAAACCCGACGUGUGGGCCUUUCUUCCAUAAUUCCUGAUAACCCCCUGCAGAAAUAGACGAACACCAAAACUCGUCUAAUUCUGUCAGAUAAAACCCUAAGUCUGGAUGUCGAUUGCAUUCGGAUCCUUUUCUUUGUUUAUUUGAUAAUUAAAUUUGAUACUUAAGGACCGUCAACAAACUCCCCUAAGCUUACCUCUUGCUCGUCCCUGAGCAAGGAUAAUCUCAGUGAUGGAUCAGAAGUUGCUGCAAUGCCUUUAAAAGUUGACGGUACACAUGCUUUCAAAUGAGGUCUCAUUUCUGAGUUAAAGUAAACUACCAAGACUUAAAACUUAUUCAUUUUACCUAUUACCAUGGGACUUGUAACCGUCACUUCUGUCUUGAGUAGUUAAAAGAUAGAACGGUCUAGUCAAGUGCCAUGUCUCUUAUUCUUGAUCAGCUAUAGCUCUGGAGUUUUUGUAGAUUUUCAAAUAAAACUCAGAGAUUCCUUGUAUGACUCUCUCAGAUCUCUCUUUUGUGGUAUUUCUGGAUCCUUACCAAGGCAGUGAUGGUAUAUGCCUUCUCUCAAAGUAUGUAGUAUUUGUGGUAUAAGGCAUAGUGACAUUGCCUUCUCUCUCAUCCUACUCUAAUAAGGCUUUUAAUAUCUGGAGCUCAUAGGUGGGAGAUAAAGUAUACAUACUUACAUGACAUUUAUUGUAUAGUCAAACCAUGGAUCCAGACAAACAAGUCAAUAAGUCAAAUCAAGAUGUGCAUGUGUGGCGAAUGAAUGGUGUAUGGUGAUGAUAACAAUGGUGAAAGUCUAAUUCUACUUUUGCUCUUUUGAGGGAAUACAUAUCUUUCUUGCUCUUUGAAACUUUUGAGGAGAAUGAGAUGCUCUAUAUUUUCUUUUACUUUCCUCUCAGGUGGGUAUCUUGUACCCCUAAUUCUACUGUCGGACACUUGUCCAUUUUUACCUCUCGUCUCACUUUUUCUUUUUCUUCAAGGUUCCGGGCACUUGCCCCUUUUUAUUUCCUCGUAUUUUUUUUCUUUUUUAGAGCACUCAUUUCCUGAAAUAAUAUAGCAAGUGGCAGUAACCAAGAUAACUUGAGCAUUUAUUUCACAGGGAAAAACAGAAAUAUUUUUGGCUAUUCUCUCCCGGAUUAGGAGUAGAAUAUUUUUGGGUGGUUCUGGAGAUGGAAAUUGGUGGAUAUAUGUGGAUGUGUACUUCCGGAGUAGAAGCAGCAUGUGUGAGUGAACGUGCAAGUGAAUCUUAAUUUUAACCACAUGACAAGCUCCUAAGGGUCUACACAGCUUGACCACACUCAAUGCUCAUAAGGAGUAAAAAGUAAAUGUGUGGCUCAAAGUCUAGCAAGCAUGUAUAUAUAUGGCUGUGGUAGGAAUUUAAAGUCUCAUCAUGCAGGAACUCAUCAUGUGAUAUUUUUAAAGAUUUUCAAAGAUAAAAUUCUCCGGAAUUUCUGGCAUCUCUAGGAACAGAUAAACAGCAGCUUAACAUUCUCAUAUCAUAUCCGUUAACAACUUAGGCUUUGGAUCAAGUUUUCUUCCCACAAGUUCAAAUUAUGAGCAAGCUUUAAAUAAUAACAGUUAUGUCUAAACUUGAGAGAGAACUUCAAAUUUGAAAAUUAGGCAGAGCAACUAUUCAUCAUAUGUGUUGACGGUCCUUAAGUAUCAAAUUUAAUUAUCAAAUAAAUAAAGAAAAGGAUCCAAAUGAAAUCAACAUCUAGACUUAGGGUUUUAUCUGACAGAAUUCUACGAGUUUUGGUGUUUGCCUAUUUCUGCAGGGGGUUAUCAGGAAAUACGGAAGAAAGACCCACACGUCGGGAUUACAUAGAGAUAUUAACGUGCCGCGCAAUUAUCUUACAUCUAGAAGACUCCAGAAGCCACGGGAAGAAAGCGGAGGCCGAACGGGGCCAGAGGCAGGGCACCCGCCCUCCUUCCCUGGGCGCCCGCCCUGACUUGGAGUCCAAACAGGACUCUGUUUCAUGGGAGAUCUCCACCGACCUAAAGGAUCAAGAAUAACCGUUCAAUCAAUGUCGGUUUGAUCCAACGGCCCAUAUUCACUUGAAGGGACUAUAAAACCAGACACCCUGGCCCCUGGAGGAGGGAGCCUCUCAACCCUAAUUCAUUAUUCUCAAGGGAGAAGAAGCCACUGAUCAAGAUUAGAGCCACCACAUCAAUUAGACAUCUAGAUGAGCAUAGCUACAUAGGAUUAGAACUAGAAGGAGUCAAUCUUCGAUUGGUUUCUGGAUCUGUCAGGAGGAUUCUUGGUAAUUCUCUAAUUGUGCUUCUAAUUGUUCUUCUAAUUAUCUUUGUUCUUCAAUAUUAUGAAUAUGACUUUGUUCUACUUCAAUAUAUUGCUUAUGACUUUGCUCUACUUGCUUAUAUUCAAGAUUAUAUUGUUCUUAGUUUAUCAUAGUUAUGUACUUGGCUUAGUUAGAUUGGAUCUAUAUACAUGCUUAGGAUCGUAUAGCGUUUAUCCAUCGGAUCCAUGGGUAAAUGAUAGAUAUUGUGUAGGCGUGGUGUUUAUACCGUAUUUAUAUGCGAUUGUACCCAAUAUGCCAGAUCGUGGGGUAGUUCAUGAUAGUGACAGCUUCAUUGAUUCUUAUAUAGUCCCCCUCUCGUGUAUUGGGCUGGCAGAGCAAUAUUAUUUCAGGGGAGUGAUUGCUAUGUUUCUCAUUUACCUUGCUAAUAUCACUAUGCAUGGGCGUAGUCUUGUCUCACAAUGAUUGCUAAGUAUGCUUGCACUAAUUAUGAUAAUGCUAGACUAUAUAGUUGAGAAUAACUUAGGAAAUAUUCUUGUAGUUCGUUCUAAUACCAUGCUAAUGACUUUCUAGAGUAUCUAUUUGAAGUGCUUAUCAUAUUUAUAUGUGGCUAAGUUAUGAUCAGAUUAAUUAUCUUUGUCACUAUUCAUUACUUCAUAUAUCUUUUAUGUGACACUUAUCCCUGUAUGAAAGAGUUAGAUACAAUGUUCUCAAUUAUAUAUGCAAUGAUAGAUACUCAAUCUCAUAUUCUAUUCUGUAAUCAAUAUUGAUGAUUGUUAAUCCCUUCCCAGUGGUAAAAAUAUAAAUAAUGAUACCUGGAAUACUUCCCAGUUAAAAUGCUAUAUCGGUAUUAAUCUGUGCGCUUGCAGAUCCCAUUCAUUAUUUAUUUAGAAGAGCAAUUGCAUAUUUCAAUACCGCGUCUCUUAUAUCAUGUUGGGGAUGACAACUUGGCUUAAGUGGUAUGAGGGAUAGGUUUGGAAUUUUUGGCACCGUUACUAGAAUUAGAAAACUAAGUCUACUUUUGGUAAUGAUGUUAAGAAUACCCAACAAGCAUUUUUGGUGCCGUUGCCGGGGAAGGUUGAUUACUAAUCAGGAAUGAAUAAAGGAUUUUGAGUUAUCAUAAGUAUUACUAAUAUGAUUGAGCUUAUCUAUUCUCUCAUACAGUUUUACCCCGAUAUUAUCUAUUUUUAUCUUAUGCAGGGGAAUGUAUGAAUAGAAGACAUCUUCCAGGAAAUUUUGUUGACAAUCCCGAAGCAUUAUUCAAGAAGACAAGAGCCAAGCUCAAGAAGAGAUCAUCAACACUUCAGCAAGAAGCUUCAUCCAAUCAAGAAGAUCACCGGAACUUGUCUUCAGAGUUCGAAGCCAUGGCGAACAAAUCAAUCCGCGAGUUCUCAGCUCCCACUACGGACAACAUCCGCACUGGACCUGCUGCAGAGAUCGAUGGCAACUUUGAGCUCAAGCCUGGACUUAUCAAUAUGGUGCAAUCCAACCAGUUCUGUGGGAAGGCACAUGAAGAUGGUAGUGUUCAUCUCCAACACUUCCUGGAGAUUUGCAACACAUUUACCAUAUCAGGAGUUUCCAGAGAUGCUAUACUACUUUGCCUCUUCCCAUUCUCACUGUUAGGAAGAGCGAAGCAGUGGUUCUACGCUACAAAGGAGAAGAAUACUACGUGGGCACUCUGCUCAACAAACUUCCUGGCUAAGUUCUUUCCCAUGGGCAAGACCAAUGCUCUCCGUGGGAAGAUUACAAGUUUUCAGCAACAAAAUGAUGAAUCUAUUCCAGAAGCAUGGGAGCGCUUUCAAGACUACAUCCUAGAAUGUCCCCAUCAUGGAAUAGAGAGUUGGCUAUUGAUGCAGACGUUUUAUCAUGGACUCGGCAACAGUGCCUGAGAGACCAUGGAUGCUGCAGCUGGAGGAGCAUUCUUAUCACUUACCAUAUCACAAGCCACAGCUCUUGUGGAGAAGAUGGCGUCCAAUCAAAGCAGGAAUGAAGAAAGGACCCAGACACGCAAGAGAGGUGGAGGUAUGCAUCAGCUCAAGGAGGUAGACAUGCUGUCUGCAAAGCUAGACCUGCUCAUGAAGAAGCUCGAUGAUAGAGCUGGAGAUAAGAAAGAAGUUAUGCACAUCUACGACUCUCACAUGACUUGUGAGGAGUGUGGAGAUACUGGACACUCAGGCAAUCACUGCCCUGAGAUGCUUGAGGAUGUGAACUACAUCAACAACAACAACAACUACUACUACAACCGUCCUCAACAAAAUCAAGGUUGGAAUCAAUAGAGGCCUAACUACUCACGUAAUUAUCAAGGUAACAAUUCUUACAACAAUAAUAAUAAUUUUCCACCUCUGAGAGAGUUAGUGUCUAAUCAAGGAAAGCUAAUGGAUAACCUAUCUAAGAAAUUGGCAUCUAAUGAUAAAAUGCUAGAAAAUAUAAAUAAUAGAAUGGAUAAUUUCUGUACUGCCAUCAAGAAUCAAAUUAGCUUUAAUAAAAUGAUUGAAUCUCAAUUAAAUCAAAUAGCUGCUGCUGUUCCUACUACUAACCCCGGUAUACCAUCACAACCGGAAGGAUUGGAAUCUGCAAAUCUUGUAGACAUGUUUGAUGCAGGUAAUUAGAGUAACCCCAUCACUGAAUUCACUACUGACCUUCUGCCGGUCAAGAGAGGCGACCCAGGACGCCCCGUCAUCCCGAUCUCCAUCGGCAUGGUGGACGUCCCAGAAGCACUCUGCGACUUUGGCUCUAGUGUCAACAUUAUACCUAGGGUACUCUAUGAAAAUUCUUUACAUAUCCUUUAUUAGAAACAACCAUGUGUUUGCACUUUGUAGAUUAGGCAUUAAGUUUUCCAAAAGGAAUAUUGAAUAACCUUUGUGUCCUAGUUGGUACCUUGUAUGCCCCAGCAGACUUCGUGGUGAAAGAGACCGGUAAUGAUGAGAGAGCACCCAUCAUCUUAGGGAGGCCAUUCUUAAACACCUCGGGAGCAGUCAUCUACGCCAGUGCUGCCAAGAUCAGUUUCUACAUAAAAGGGAGGAAGGAGAUGUUUUUCUUCAAGAACAAGACUACACAAAUCCCAGAUCAAUCCAGACAUGAAUCAAGGAAGAGGACCAGCAGGAGGAACAGGAACAAGCAAGUGUGGACCGAGUCAGCUAAGAUGGUCACUGCAGUUCAUGGAGGCCAAGAUCAACAGCUUAAGUGACCAUUGUUGACCAAGAAGGACGACCUAGGAAUGCCAAGCAUCUAUUGCUCAAUAAAUGGAUACAACUUCUACAAGACGUUUUGCGACACCGGAUCGGGCGUCAACAUAAUGGCCGCAGUCACCUAUCGGCUCUUGUUCGGAACCAUGCGCCUAAAACCAACAUAUAUUCAGUUCCAAAUGGCAGAUCAGACAUUUCGAGAAGUUAAAGGAACAGUAACUGAUGUCCCAGUCAAAAUAGACGAUCAUUUUGUCUACACAGACUUUCAGGUUAUUGACAUGGUAGAAGAUGAGUACGAUCCACCCAUCAUCCUUGGAAGACCGUUCCUCAGCACCGUUAAAGCAAUCAUCUACAUUGGAACUGGAGAAGUCCAUAUGCACUUCCCCUCAGAGAAGGUACACCGUUAUUUUACCGACCCUAACUACAUCUUUGAAGAAUCUAAGCAAAGGAUAACUACCAAGUUUACCUCUUGGCAAGUCGUUCGUUGUUUUUAAGUCCUCCGAACAGGACUCUCUGCUUUCUUAGUUGUAAUGGGAUUCACUGUAUGGCGUAGUCGGUGCUUCCGGCGGCGCCUCCUCUUCAUGUAUAGUUAUCUUCUCUCUCCACACCGGACUUGGUGCUACGGUCUCCUCAGGAUAGUUCUGUUCAAGUUGUAUGUCUUCAGACCUUACCACUUCUCCUUCGUAGUCUGCCCAUCCGUCCUUGAUGAUUUGCCUCCUCUGGUUGCGGUUGCGUCGUCUUCUUCUUGUCCUGACCUGCUUAGAAUCUUCAACUAUAUAGUUAGGGUCACUAAAAUAGCGGUGUACCUUCUCUGAGGGGAAGUGCAUGUGGACUUCUCCGGUUCCAAUAUAGAUGAUUGCUUUAACGGUGCUGAGGAAUGGUCUCCCAAGGAUAAUAGGUGGAUCGUACUUCUCUUCUCCCAUGUCAAUAACCUGAAAGUCUGUAUGGACAAAAUGAUCGUCUAUUUUGAAAGGGACGUCAGUUACUAUACCUUCAACCUUUUGGAAUGUCUGAUCUACCAUCUGGAGCUGAAUGUAUGUCGGUUUUAGGGGCAUGGUUCCGAACAAGAGCCGAUAGAUGACUGCGGCCAUUAUGUUGACGGCCGAUCCGGUGUCGCAAAAUGUCUUGUAGAAGUUGUACUCAUUGAUGGAGCAGUGGAUGCUUGGCAUACCUGGGUCGUCCUUCUUGGUCAGGAAUGGUGACUUAAGUCGAUGAUCUUGACCUCCAUGAACUGCAGUGACCAUCUUAGCUGACUCGAUCCAUACUUGCUUGUUCCUGUUCCUCCUGUUGGUCCUCUUCCUUGGUUCAUGUCGGGAUUGCUCUGGGAUUUGUGCAGUCUUGCUCUUGAAGGAAAACAUCUGCUUUCUCCCUUUGAUGUAGAAACUGAUCUUGGCAGCACUAGUGUAGAUGACAGCUCCCGAGGUGUUCAGGAAUGGCCUCCCUAAGAUGACGGGUGCCCUCUCAUCAUUACCGGUCUCUAUCACCACGAAGUCUGCUGGGGCGUACAAGGUACCAACUCAGACACAGAGGUUCUUCAAUAUUCCCUUUGGGAAACUUAACGCCUGAUCUGCAAACUGCAAACACAUGGUUGUUUCUAAUAAAGGAUAUGUAAAUAUUUUUUUCAUAGAGUACCCUAGGCAUAAUGUUGACACUAGAGCCAAAGUCGCAGAGUGCUUCUGGGAAGUCCACCAUGCCGAUGGAGAUCGGGAUGACGGGGCGUCCUGGAUCGCCUCUCUUGACCGGCAGAAGGUCAGUAGUAACUUCCGUGACGGGGUUACUCCAGUAGUUACCUGCAUCAAAGAUGUCUACAAGAUUUGCAGAUUCUAAUUGUUUCGAUUGUGAUGGUAUACCGGGGUUAGUAGCAGGAACAACAGCAGCUAUUUGAUUUAACUGAGAUUCAACCAUUUUAUUAAAGCUAAUUUGAUUCUUGAUGGCAGUAGAGAAAUUAUACAUUCUAUUAUUUAUAUUUUCUAGCAUUUUAUCAUUUGAUGACAAUUUCUUAGAUAGGUUAUCCAUUAGAUUUCCUUGAUUAGACAAUAACUCUCUCAAAGGUGGAAAAUUAUUAUUAUUGUUGUAAGAAUUGUUACCCAGAUAAUUACCUGAGUAGUUAGGCCUCUAUUGAUUCCAACCUUGAUUUUGCUGAGGACGGUUGUAGUAGUUGUUGUUGUUGAUGAUGUAGUUCACAUCCUCAAGCAUCUCAGGGCAGUGAUUGCUUGAGUGUCCAGUACCUCCACACUCCUCAGAAGUCAUGUGAGAGUCGUAGAUGUGCAUAACUUCUUUCUUGUCUCCAGCUUUAUCAUCGAGCUUCUUCAUGAGCAGGUCUAGCUUUGCAGACAGCAUAUCUACCUCCUUUCUUCAUUCCAGCCUUGGUUGGAUGCCAUCUUCUCCAUAAGAGCUGUGGCUUGUGGUAUGUUGAGUGAUAGGAAUGCUCCUCCAGCUGUAGCAUCCAUGGCGGGCACUAUUGCUGAGAGCAUGAUAAAACGUCUGCAUCAGCAGCCAGCUCUCCAUUCCAUGAUGGGGACAUUCUAGGAUGUAGUCUUGGAAGCGCUCCCUUGCUUCUGGAAUGGAUUCAUCAUGUUGUUGCUGAAAACUUGUAAUUUUCCCACGGAGAGCAUUGGUCUUGCCCAUGGGAAAGAACUUAGCCAGAAAGUUUGUAGAGCAGAGUGCCCAUGUAGUAUUCUUUUCUUUUUGUAGCGUAGAACCACUGCUUCGCUCUCCCCAACAGAGAGCAUUGGUCGAUGUGCUGCAAAUCUCCAGGAAGUGUUGGAGAUGAGCACUAGCAUCUUCGUGUGCUUUCCCACAGAACUGGUUGGAUUGCACCAUGUUGAUAAGUCCAGGCUUGAGCUCAAAGUUGCCGUCGAUCUCUGCAGCAGGUCCAGUACGGAUGUUGUCCGUAGUGGGAGCUGAGAACUCGCGGAUCGAUUUGUUCGCCAUGACUUCAAAUUCUGAAGGUAAGUUCCGGAUGAAACUUUGGUGAUCUUCUUGAUUGGAUGAAGCUUCGUACUGAAGUGUUGAUGAUGCCUUCUUGAGCUUGGCUCUUGUUUUUCUGAAUAAUGCUUCAGGAUUGUCAACAAAAUUUCCUAGAAGAUGUCUUCUAUUCAUACAUUACCCUACAUAAGAUAAAAUAGAAAAAUAUCAGGGUAAAACUAUAUGAGAGAAUUGAUAAUCUCAAUCAUAUUAGUGAUGCGAAUGAUGACUCAAAAUUCCAUAUUCAUUCCUGAUUAGUAAUCAACGUUCCCCGGCAACGGCGCCAAAAAUGAUUGUUGGGCAUUCUUAACGCCACUACCAAAAGUAGACCUAGUUUUCUAAUUCUGAUAACGGCGCCAAAAAUGCCAAACCUAUCCCUCAUGCCACUUAAGCCAAGUUGUCAUCCCCAGCAUGACAUAAGAGACAUGGUAUUGAAAUAUGUAAUUGCUCUUCUAAAUACAUAAUAAAUGAGAUCUGCAAGCACACAGAUUAAUACUGAUGUAGCAUUUUAACCGGGAAGUAUUGCAGGUAUCAUUAUUUCUAUUUUUACCACUGGGAAGGGAUUGCUAAACAUCAAUGUUGUCUAUAGAAUGGAAUAUAGAAUUGAGUAUCUAUCAUUGCAUGUAUAAUUCAGAGCAGUUAUCUAUCUCUUUCAUAUAGGGAUAAGUGUCACAUAAAAGAUAUAUAAAGUAUGAAUGGUAACAAAGAUAAUUAAUCUGAUCAGCAUAACUUAGCCACAUAUAAAUAUGAAAAGCACCUCAAUAGAUAUCCUAGCAAGUCAUUAGCAUGGAAUUAGAACGAACUACAAGAAUAUUUCCUAAGUUAUUCUCAACUAUACAGUCUAGCAUAUCACAAUUAGUGCAAUUAUACUUGGCAAUCGUUGCGAGACAAGACUACGCCCAUGCAUAGUGAUAUUAUCAAGGAAUAUGAGAAACAUUGCAAUCACUCCCCUGUAAUAAUGUUGCUCUGCCAGCCCAAUACACGAGAGGGGGACUAUAUAAGAAUCAAUGGAGCUGUCACUACCACGAACUACCCCACGAUCUGGCAUAUAGGGUACAAUCGCAGAUAAAUACGGUAUAGGCACCAUGCCCACACAAUACUUAUCAUUUACCCAUUGUACACAUGGAUAAAUGCUAUACGAUCCUAAACACGUAUAUAAUUCCAAUCUAACUAAGCCAAGCAUAUAACUAUGAUAAACUAAGAACAAUAUAAUUGCGAAUAUAAACAAGUAGAGCAAAGUCUUGAUCAAUAUAUUGAAGUAGAUCAAAGUCAUAUUCAUAAUAUUGAAGAACAAAUAUGAAAAAUUGAAGAACAGUAGAGGAAUUACCAAGAAUCCUCUUGAUAGAUCCAGAAACCAAUCGAAGAUUGACUCCUUCUAGUUCUAAUCCUAUGUAGCUAUGCUAAACAAGAAAUCUAAUUGAUGUGGUGGCUCUAGGGCUUGAUGAGAGGCUUCUUCUCCCAAGGUGAAUAAUGAAUUAGGGAUCAGAGGUCCUCUCCUCUAGGGGCCAGGGGGUCUGCUUAUAUAGUCCUUCCAAGUGAAUGUGGGCCGUUGGAUCAAACCGACAUUAAUCACACGGUUUUCCUUGAUCCUUUAGGUCGGUGGAGCAUGAUCCGUGAAGUUGAAGCUUAUUGGCUCCGAGGCCAGGGCGGGCGCCCAAGGGGGGAGGGCGGGCCCCCUGCCCCCGAGCCCGUCCGGUCUCCCAUUCGUUCCCGUGGCUUCUGGACUCUUUUAGAUGUUGAAUAAUUGUGUGGCACGUUAAUAUCUCUAUGUAAACCCGACGUGUGGGCCUUCCUUCCAUGAUAAACCCAUACAGAAAUAGACAAACACCAAAACUCAUGGAAUUCUGUCAGAUAAAACCCUAAGUCUGGAUGUCGAUUGCAUUUGGAUCCUUUUCUUUGUUUAUUUGAUAAUUAAAUUUGAUACUUAAGGGCUGUCAACAGAAGGCACAAUAAACUUAGGAUAUAUUGAUAUACGUAUGGAUAAAGUCAUAUUACCAAUCAAUAUCUAAACUCAAUCACGUACACCCUUUAUCGUUAUCAUUUUCUUAUCUUAUGCAGGGUGAUGAAUGAAUGGUUUUUCUCUUCCAAGAAACUUUACUGAAGAUCUAGAGAAACUCCUUAGAAAGAAGAAGUUUGUAGAAGCAAGGGACAAAUUCGAGUCACCAUCAAGAACACCCUCUGCUACUCAAGCUAGCUCAUCAGAGGAGCCAGCUCCAAUAUUGGAAGAGGAAUUUGAAGAACAAGUAGAAGAAUAAGCAGAAGAGUAGUUAGGUGAAAACUUAGCUCCUGUGUUUGAAAACAUGGUUGAGAAGACACUGCGAGAGUUCUCUGCCCCAACAACAACAAACAUUUAGACUGGACCAGCAGUCAACACUGGGGAGAUGGAUUCGAGCUCAAGCCUGCUCUCAUUACCAUGGUUCAAGCCAGCCAAUUCUGUGGAAAGGCUCAUGAAGAUGCAAGUGCACACUUACAACACUUUCUAGAGAUCUGCAGCACCUUCACUAUCAGAGGAGUAUCAAAGGAUGCUAUCUUACUCCGUCUUUUCCCAUUCUCAAUAUUGGGGAAAUCCAAGCAGUGUUCUACAUCAACAAAGACAAACACAAUACAUGGGACCUAUGCUCGACUGCUUUCCUAGCAAAAUUCUUUCCUACAGCCAAGACCAAUGCUCUGCAUGGGAAGAUUUUAAGUUUCCAACAACAACAUGAUGAAUCAUUCACUAAAGCAUGGGAAAGAUUCCAGAAUUACAUUGAAGACUGUCCUCAUCAUAGGAUAGAGGAAUGGCUGUUAAUGUAGACUUUCUAUCACAGGCUCAUCUCUAGUACCUGUGAGUCUAUUAAUGCUGUAGCGGGGGAGGUUUUAUAUUACUUAAGCUCUCAGACGCUAAAGCACUUGUUGAGAUGAUGGCCUCAAAUUCAACAUGCAGUGAAGAACGUACUCAACCUCGAAAGAAAGGAGGAGGAAUCCAUCAUCUCAAGGAAGCUAACAUGGUCACUGCCAAGCUAGACCUCAUCAUGAAGAAGCUCGACAUAGAGAAGAAGGAAGUCAUGCACAUUAAUGAUUCCCAUAUGACAUGUGAAGAAUGUGGAGACUACAGACACUCAGCUAUUAGUUGCCCUACACUACAAGAGGAUGUGGAAUUCAUCAACAACAACACCUACUAUUGUCCUCAACAAAAUCAAGGGUGGAACCAACAACCUCGACAAGGUAAUUACCACGGUAACAACCAAGGUAAUAGUUUAAUAACAACCUUCUGCCUUUAAGAGAAUUAGUUACUAGUCAAUCCGAACUACUAUAUCAAAUGACUAGGAAACUAACAUCAAAUGAUAAAACUUUGGAAAACAUACAUACUAGGAUGGGUACUUUUGCUUCUGCCAUAAAGAAUCAGCAUAGUUUCAAUAAAAUGCUAGAAUCACAAUUAGCUCAAUUAGUUGUUGCUGUUCCACCAUUAGAAAAAGGCAAGAUUUUAGGCCAACCAGAAGAUUUAGAAACUGCUAACCUUGUUGAUAUUCACAAUGCAACCCAAUAUCAUAUUGAGCCUGCAGAUGUACAAUGCAUUGACCACUCUAUGCCAAAGAAGAUGGGAGACCCAUGAAGACCUGUCAUUCCUAUCUCUAUAGGAUGUCACAGCUUUCCAGAGGCUAUCUGUGACUUCAGCGCAAGUGUCGACAUCAUGUCCAAGGUAAUUUAUGAGAAAAUAUGAAAUGAUCCCUUGUUGUACACAAAUAUGCGUUUGCAGCUUGCAGAGCAGUCCAUUUGCUACCUUGAGGGAGUACUAGAAGAAGUUGUCAUUAGAGUGGGGCAAUCAUAUGUCCUAGUUGACUUUGUGGUCAUGGAGACAGGAGUAGAUGAGAAGGCACCCAUCAUUUUGGGAAGACCAUUCUUGUGCACAACAAAAUCCAUCAUCUAUGCGGAGUACACCAAGAUUUUCCUAUCCAUCAAGGACAAUAAAGAGAGAUUCACAUUCAAGAACCGCGUCCUGAAAGCUCCUACAACCCUAAAGCAAUUCCAUCAACAAGGAGAGCAAGAACAUCAAUCAAUGCUGAAGAAGAAGAACAAUAGAAACAACUUAAGAUGGAGGAGGACCAAGCAUGCACCUACAAUGACAACUAAAUUGAUCACUGCUCUCAAUAUAGAGAAUGAUCAUAUGCUACCCAAGCCAUUUCCAAUCAAGAGAGGUGAUCUAGGAGUUCCAAUCAUUGAAUGCACAAUCAAAGACACCACUUUCCCUCACACCAUAUGGGACACCGGAUAAGGCUGCAACAUAAUGUUAAAAUAGGUAUAUGAUGAGUUAUUUAAUUUACCUUUAUACCCAACAUGUAUUCAGUUGCAGGUGGCAGAUCAAUCACUAAGUUUCCCUGAAGGAGUGGUCAAGAAUGUCACGGUAAGAAUUCAAGGAUAAUAUAUACCUGCAGAUUUUCUAGUUCUUGACAUGCAGGGAGACGGUGAUACCCCGAUCCUCUUGGGAAGACCAUUCCUCUACACAGCCAAAGCCAACAUCUACAUUAGAUCAGGGCAUAUCCACUUGAACCCACCUACCAGGAAGGUAAGCUGUCAAUUUAAAACACAAGUUAACCAUGAGUAGAUCAGGAAGCAACAGGAGAAGACGCCAAGCUCGCUGUUAGGCUGCCCAGUCUCACUACGGAUGGGAAGACUUUCCUGGCAAGAUUGUGAAAUAAGAAGAUCUCUUCACGGAGCAAGAAGAGAACACACGAGCACCCCGAUGGAGUGAUUGGGCACAAUAAGCUGAAAGGAUGGACUGAAUUGCCAUGAAAGAGAAAGAGAUCUUAGAUUGAUUAGAAGCAUGGGAGAAGGAGAAUAGAGAUGAAGAGUUGGAGCUAGAAAAGAAAGAAGCAAAAGAGACACACACAAGAAGGAACGAAGAUGCACGUGACGCAUCACCACGAAAUGCAAAGUUGACUGAGGUUACCUCAGACGAUGAACCCACUGAGUAAGUCCUCUCCGCUAUCUAAGUCGUGUUAGUAGUCUUUAAAUUCCGUACCCUAGUCAUCAGGUUUGAAUGGUAGUUAUCUAGUUAAAGCUAGCAUGCUUUAGUAAUUACGCUUUAAUACACUUAGUAGCAUAUUUAUUUCUCUUGGCAUAUUGAUAUAAACAACAAAAAAACAUUUACUGCUUUAAUUACUGCAUCAUACAUACCAAAGCCCCAUGUGGAUACCCUAUGGUAUUUUCCAAAGGAACAUCCACUGUAGUGGCAUAAAAAUUAAAUAGCAUUCAUAUUUAAAAUUCCUGCAUCAUAAAUAGAAAAUUCUAAAAAGAAGAAGAGAAAAGUAAAAUCAUGUUUAAAUUAGACAAUAUUAAGACUAGCUCAUAAAGGAGAUCAGUUACUCUUUGGCUGACCGCUAACCCAUUAACAAAUUCAAGCCUCGAGUUUUGCUUUCUCUUUGUAGAGAGUAUUUAUGCAAGAAUAACAUCAUAGCAAGGAGAGAGUCUAUCAGGGGCACCCACAGGGUUCGCUACUGGCUAGCUCGCUCUAAAGGACGUCUACAUCAGAUAUUGCAAAUAUCUAGCUUGGGGGAGGAGCAUCCCCUAGUUAUCAGGCAAUUAUACCUAAGUGAUUAUCGAGUCUACAUAGUUAGAAAAAUACCAAAAAAUAUGUGAGCACAUGAAGGUUCACCAUAGUAUCAUAGAAAAACAUAAAAAUGCCAAAAACAUGUGGGCACAUGAAGAUCCACAAGUCAUAGUCUUUUUGAGAGUUUAUAAUCAGUUAAAUGUUAGAGUAUGUUUAGAGUCAGUCUAAACUAGAGCUAAAUAAAAAAUUGAUGAAUAUUAAAAUCUUAUCUUGGAAAUGAUGAAUAGUUGCUCUGUUAUAGAUCUUUACAAGUACCUAGAUUUUAACAUGAGAUUCUCUCGAGUUUUGGACAUUACUAUUUUAAUCUAAAGGUUUACUCUGAGCCUACAACUUGCGGAGGCAUUAGUUUGAGCUAAGCCUAGGUAGUUGGUUGAUAUGAUCAUUGAAAGUCUGAGUUGCUAUUUAUCUUAUUCCUAGCAUUACUAUAUUCUGGAGAUUUAUUUUGAAAAAAAAACCAAAAUCCUACAUGAUGAGCUCUUGUAUGACAAGUUUGAAUUCCCACCAAAGCUGGUAUAAUGUAAAUUUAGAGUUAGGAAAACUUUUGCACAUUUAUGCUGCUUGCUUUGCAUUGAGUUUAGUCAAACUUUGUAGUAUACCUUACAAAAGUCAUGUCCUACUUUUAAAAACCAAGAUCACGUACACACUCUAGUUCACAUAUUGUUGGCAUUUCAUAGCGUCACCACAAAAGAUAAAGUCCAUCCCUGCAACAGCUCCAGAAAGCCUAUUGAGUCCAGAAGUGGCAAACAAAAAUACCGCAAGCGUACUGUAGUCAAUGUAGCUUUCACCGGGAGUAUUCCAGGUGUCGUAUUUUCCACAGGGAACAUGAAGUGAACUAACUAGGCUCAAGGUCAUCCAAAGGGUCAAGGAUAGGUAAGUGAUCUCACACAGAUCCUAAUCUAAAGAUAAAUGGCAGAGAGCUAGCUAGGUCGGAGGACAACGAGUGAGUAUAGGACUCCUAUGACUCUAACUUUACUCCUGUGAACCAAAUCUGAUCUAGUAGCGGAUACACACUAACGUCGCUAAACUUAACUGCUUGUUUGUUGGAAGACGACUACAAUAGGAGGACGAAACUCCUAUCCAAGGGGACUCGUUUCUCAUGGGCGCCUACAGACUGUACCCAACGUGAAUAGAACCAACUAGGAAGCAGAGGCCUGUCAUGCUUCGCCGCCGCCCGCUAUCACGUUUGAUAUGGUGGUAUUCAAGGGCAGGCUUUAGUCUAAGCACCACAAUUAUGCUAACUCCUACUACUCAGACUAAGUAUACGACCAAGUCCAAGCACCGUGUUACCGGCAGAGAAAACAACCCAUGCACUUAAGACUAACCUAGCUAGUAUAUAACUGCUACAAGAUAGACUAGGUCACUACAAUAGAAUAUUGCACAAAGUAAAUACUGAAUGUAAAUACUUAGAAAAGUAAAGGGAAUGUAGAUAUAUUAAAUACUCAAAGUCUUACAAGAGAAAAGGUAAAGAGGAAUACCAGACUCUACAGAAGACGACUCCGAAGACUCCAAGCUUCGCUAACACUACUACCCUACAUUGUAACAAGUGGAUCUUGAAGUGUGAGAUGAUAUGAGAUGAAGGCCUAUAGGAGGUAUUUAUUGCAGGAGGUGGAGUAGGGGCUACUCCACUACCACGUUAGCAAUCCGCGUGACCUCCAGCUUGCACCAUUGGAUAAACCGACCUUGGAACCACCAUAUGAUCAAUGGUUGGGGAUUUCCAUCACAUGUUCAUCAUGGGGACAUCGGUGGAGGCAAACCGACCUUGGGGUGCCCACAUGUCAGGGUCGGCCGACCGACCUAUUGCUUCCAUGUGGGCCCCACCAAGCUUCUAGAAGGUGCUGAGGUCGGUGGGAGUGUGGGCCAGGUGGGACCGCACCAAAGGUGGGUGUUGGGUAUUUUAAACGCAAACAGAAAAAAUCCGCAAGCGCACGGAUACUGAUGUAGCCUUCACCCGGGAGUAUUCCAGAGUAUCGAUUUUCCACAGGGAACGUGUAACAUCCCCUGCCACAGAACGUGAGUGUACUAAUUAAGAAUCAAGAUUGCCCAAGGAUAACUAUAUAAGUAUUUUUGGUGGGAAGAGAGGAAGUUUCCUGAGAGUUCUCUAGUUGAUCUAAGAAUCAAGAAUUACUUCAAGAUUAUUUAUAUUGGGACAUCGGAGCACUAACCACAGAAAGAGAUGAGAAGGGGGCUAGGAAGGUCUGACUACGGUCCUACAAACACCGAUCCGAACAAGGUGGAAUACGUCGACCGUUAGGGCUGUCACUACCCUAAGGCUACCACAACAAUCCACAGGAUUGGGUGCAAUUCUAGGUAAUUGCAAGACUGAACACCACGUCUAAUCUAUUAAUUACUACUCUAAUGUUUCAAAGAUUAGAGCACUUGAUGCAAGCGGGAAUCCAAUAAAUAACUUGAAUGUAAAUAAAAGUAAUUAAAGAACUCAGGAGUUAUGAAUUGAAGAACCUGGAGAACGAUGAAGAACGAACCAAUUGCUGCAAAAGUACAAUGUUGAGGAAGAUCCGACAGAUCCGGCUCCUCCUCCGCUCUCCUCUUCUCUCUCCCUAUUUUCUAGAUUACAACUAGAACUAACUAGAACUAAAACUAGAGGAACUAGAACUAGAUGAACUAGAACUAGAUCUAGAUGAACUAGAGGUAGAACUAGAAGAACUAGAGGGAUCCUCUCUACUUGGAUGAAGAAUUGAAACCCUAGCUUUGAUUCUGUAGAAGAGGUAUGAUCUCCAGGGGCCAGGGGGUCUGGUUUUAUAGUCCCUUCAAGUGAAUAUGGGCCGUUGGAUCAAACCGACAUUAAUCGCACGGUUUUCCUUGAUCCUUUAGGUCGGUGGAGCGUAAUCCCUAAAUUGGACUCUGAUUGAGCACUGUAGCAGGGCGGGCGCCCUCAGGACUAGGGCGGGCGCCCUGUGCCUGAGCCCUCUCGGCCUCCACUUCGUUCCCACGGCUUCUGGAGUCUUCUAGAUGAUAGAAAAUUGCGCGACACGUUAAUAUCUCUAUGUAAACCCGACGUGUGGGCCUUUCUUCCAUAUUUCCUGAUAACCCCCUACAGAAAUAGACAAACACCAAAACUCGUGGAAUUCUAUCAGAUAAAACUCUAAGUCUGGGUGUUGGUUGCAUAUAAGUCCUUUUCCAUGAUUAGUUGAUGGUUAAAUAUGAGCAUUAAGGACCGUCAACAAGCUCCCCCAAGCUUAACCUUUGCUCGUCCCUGAGCAAGGAUGGACUCAAGUGUUUCUGUAGUGGUUUCAUGCCUUAAAGAUACACAUGCGUUCAAACAAGAUCUCAUCUCUGGGUUAGGGUAAACUGUUAAGAUUUAAACGUACUCAUAUUACCUAUCACCAUGGGGCUUGCAACCGUCACUUGUGUCUUGAGCAGUUAAAAGAUAGAAUGGUCUAGUCAAGCACCAUGUCUCUUGUUCUUCGAUUAACUAUAGCUCUGGAGUUUUUGCAUAUUUUCAAAUAAAACUCAGAGAUUCCUUGUAUGACUCUCUCUAGUCUCUCUUUUGUGGUAUUUUUGGGUCCUUACCAAGGCAGUAAAGGUGUAUGCCUUCUUUCAAAGUAUGUGGUAUUUUUGGUAUGAGGCAUAGUGACAUUGCCUUCUCUCUCACCCUACUCUAAUAAGGCUUUUAUAUCUGGAGCUCAUAGGUGGGAGACAGCUAAUACAUACUUACAAGACAUUUAUUGCAUAGUCAAACCAUGGAUCCAGAAGAACAAGUCAAUAAUUCAAAUCAAGAUGUGCAUGUGUGGCGAAUGGAUGGUGUACGGUGAUGAUGGUGAUAACAAUGGUGAAAGUCUAAUUCUACUUAUGCUCUUUUGAGGCGAUACAUACCUUUCUUGCUCUUUGAAGCUUUUUGAGGGGAAUGAGAUGCUCUAUAUUUUCUUUUUUUUCUUUUCUCUCAGGUGGGUAUCUUGUACCCCUAAUUCUACUGUCGGACACUUGUCCAUUUUUACUGCUCCUCUCACUUUUUCUUUUCUUCGAGGUUCCUGGCACUUGCCCCUUUUUAUUUCCUCGUUUCUCUUUUUUUUCUCUUUUUUUAGAGCACUCAUCUCUUGAAAUAUUGUAGCAAGUGGUAGUAACCAAGAUAACUUGAGCAUUUAUUUCAUAGGGGAAAACAGAAAUGUUUUUGGCUAUUCUCUCCCGGAUUAGGAGUAGAAUAUUUUUAGGUGAUUUUGGAGAUGGAAAUGAGUGGAUAUAUGUGGAUGCAUACUUCCGGAGUAGAAGCAGCAUGUGUGAUUGAACGUGCAAGUGAAUCUUGACUUAACCACAUGACAAGCUCCUAAGGUCUACACAACUUGACCACACUCAAUGCUCAUAAGCAGUAAAAAGUAAAUGUGUGGCUCAAAGUCUAGCAAGCAUGUAUAUAUGGCUGUGGUAGGAAUUUAAACUCUCAUCAUACAGGAACUCAUCAUGCAACAUUUUAAUUAUUUUCAAAGAUAAAAUUCUCCAGAAUUCUAGCAUCUCUAUGAACAGAUAAACAACAGCUCAACCUUCCCAUAUCGUAUCCGUUAAAGACUUAGACUUUAGAUCAAGUACUCUCCCCACAAGUUCAGGUUUAGAGCAAAUAUUAAUUGAUACCAGUCAUGCCUAAACUUGAGAGAGAUUUCAAUUUUGAGAACUAGUCAUGGCAGAGCAACUAUUCAUAAUUUCCAUGUGAGAGCUUAUCAUGAGGGUUCACAGCAAACUUUAUUUAUUUAUUUAUUUAUUUAUUUAGCAAACUAAGCAAAGAUAUAUAUAUAUAUAAGCACAAAAUAUUUAUUUGGGUUUUUAUGAUCAUGCAUCUUUUUAUUAUUUGAGUAAAAUAUAAACAUGAGUAGAACACUUAGCUGGAUAAAUGGGGGUGCUCUCCCCCAAGCUGGAUUUUGACGUAAUUUCUUCUAAUGUAGCUAGCAAGUGGCGGAGGUGUAUUUGAAUGUCGGCAGCACCCUGACAACGAUUAGGAUGUCCUCCGUCUGCUAGUCUUCUUUAAUCCUUGAAUUCUGUGGAGCUCAAAUAGACAACAAAGCUUUGUGGAAGUACUUAAGUGUUAGCAUAAAUAUCUAGGCUUUAUCAUGUUGAGCCUCCUCAAUAAAUGUUACUCUCUUUAGUAGGAUCAUAAAUUUAUUUUUAUAUUUUCAUUUUUAUAGGACAAGAAUAUAUUUAUUUUAUUUUUACGCCACCACAGUGAAUGUACUUAUAGGUUUUAUGCCAUGAGCAUACUCACAUGGGGCUUACUAUUUUUAACAUUUUUAUUUUCUUUUUAAAAUGAUAUGAACCUGAUUAACUAAGCAAACUGUUUUAAAUAAUUGAAAGGAAAAAGAUAACUACCAAGUUUACCUCUUGGCAAGGCGUUCGGUGUUUUUACGUCCUCCGAACGGGACUCUCCAUUUUCUCAUUCGUCCUGGGAUUCGCUGGAUGGCGUAGCCGGUGGUUCCAGCGGCGCCUGCUCUUUGUGUAUAACUAUCUUCUCUUUCCACACCUGACUCGGUGCACUUCUCUUUCGUAGUCCGCCCAUCCGUCCUUGAUGAUUUUCCUCCUCUGGUUGCGGUUGCGUCGUCUUCUUUUUGUCCUGACCUACUUAGAGUCUUCAACUAUAUAGUUAGGGUGAGUAAAAUAGCGGCGUACCUUCUCAGAGGGGAAAUGCAUGUGGACUUCUCCGGUUCCAAUGUAGAUGAUUGCUUUAACGGUGCUGAGGAACGGUCUCCCAAGGAUGAUGGGUGGAUCGUACUUGUCUUCUCCCAUGUCAAUAACCUUUUGGAAUGUCUGAUCUUCCCUUUGGAGCUGAGUCGUCCUUUUUGGUCAGAAACGGUGACUUAAGUCGACGAUCUUGACCUCCUUGAACUGCAGUGACCAUCUUAGCUGACUCGGUCCACAUUUGCUUGUUCAUGUUCCUCCUGUUGGUCCUUUCCUUGGUUACUGUCAGGAUUGCUUUGAGAUUUGUGUAGUCUUGUUCUUGAAGGAAAACGUCUCCUUCCUCCCUUUGAUGUAGAAACUGAUCUUGGCAGCAUUAGCGUAGAUGACAGCUCCUGAAGUGUUCAAGAAUGGCCUCCCUAGGAUGAUGGGUGCCCUCUCACCAAUACUAGUCUCUAUCAUCACGAAGUCUGCUAGGGCGUACAAGGUACCAACUCGUACGCAGAGGUUCUUCAAUAUUCCUUUUGGGAAACUUAGCGUACGAUCAUGCCGAUGGAGAUCGGGAUGACGGUGCGUCCUGGAUCGUCCGUCUCUCUGGACCGGCAGAAGGUCAGUAAUUACUUCCACAAUGGGGUUACUCCAGUAGUUACGUCCUCAAGCAUCUUAGGGCAGUGAUUGCCUGAGUGUCCAGUAUCUCCAGUGUGUUUGUGCUCGUAGAUCUAGGUUCUUCACUUGGUGGAGUAUGGGAGUUGUAAAAGUCCUUCAUAUUUUGCUCGAAGUGUACCUGCUCAUAAAGACAAACCAGAGAUCAAGUGCAUGGGCCCUGUUGGUGGAAAACACCAACAGAACCAAAAGUGUAUUUGUUCUUCUCUAACCUUAAGCAUAGUGAGCAAAACAAAGUAGAUGGAUAAUAAGAUCAUGGGUGUAGCAUUUAAAACAUUUAUCAGAUUAGAUCGCUCAACCUAAUGGAAAAAAUAUAUUAUCUAUACUUAUGUUAUAUAUAUAUAUAUUCCAAAGAUUGCGUGUGCAACAUUUUAGCUCAUAUGAUUAAGAGUGUGGGAUCACAAAGGUGGAAGGACUAAACAUGUUGAAUCGACUGGGUUGGUUAAUCUAGAGUUGUAAAUCAUACAUGUUUGUCCCUUUUAUUCAUGUGAACGCCAGAACCAAGGAGAAGCUUAUAAAAGUGAUAGUCAAGUAUCUUAAGAUGUUACCUUACUUGAAGAGUGAUGGUACAGUAUCACCUUGUGGAAGCUUUCCUUUCUUAGGGGCUGUGCAUCGUGUUUGUGGCAGCCUCCAUGGAUCAUCUCCUAUGAGCUAUGCUUUCCUCGUGUAAAUUGUUAAACUUCAUGUGUCUCUCUGUUUGUCUCCAAUGUGAGUUUAUCCCAGGACUUCCUAGGUUGAUAUUGAAAGUUUUCCUCUAGGGGUUAGUCCAACAAAAUAUCCAAUAUCUACUAUAGCAUACUAUCGGCUCAAAGAUCAACCUAGACACCAUGUCUAAUUUGAUUUAGGAGGGCAUUUUAACCUAAGCAUCAUGCUUAAUUUAAACUCCCUUGGAAGUAAGAUCAUCAGCCCUAAACUAAGCACCAUGCUUAAUUUAAGAGAUAAAUGAAACUACUCCAAACCUAGACAUAUACUAAAGCAAAUAAAGGUGGCAUGAGAGCAUUUAUAGAGAUCUACUCAAGUGGAGAUGAAGUAGUGUGAUUAGUAUUUAACAGAUUGAGCAUGUCUCAAUGGUAGGGACAACCAACAUAGCAACAUGGCAAGGAUGUUUUUAUGUAAAGUACUCCCCAAGCUUGAAUUUUGCAAAAUUAAAGUUUGGAUGAAUUUAAUUCAAUGUUGUAUGAUGAUUGGUUGGACAUACCUUGUGCUUGUCAUUCAUCCGAUCUUCUUGCUCCAAUCCUGGAAAGGUUAGUGACAAGAAUACCCGAAGGAAUUUUUUACAAUUAUCCUUAUAUGCUCAAUACACAAGGUAAUGUUGCAAAUGAUUAAAAGUUCAUGUUAUGAUCUGAUCAGUGCUUAUUUUAGGACACUAAGCUUGUCCUUGGGAAACCAUCAAUUUAUGUCGGCGAAGUGGUUUCCCCUCCAACACUGACCUAUAUCAAGAUCAACUCAACGAGAUCUGCAAUAUUUAAUAUAGACAUAUGCAUCGACAAUCGCCCUUUUAAAGUUUUUAUAAAUAGAAAGGAUGAGGGGGCUGGAGAUCUUGAAUGUUGUGAUGUUGGAAAAACCAAUGGAUUGGGAAGAUGUUGCAUAUGAGCAUGGAGCAAAUGAAGUGGCUAUGAAAUAAAUUCCAUGCUCAUUAAUGCUUAGAGUGAAAUCCACGUGGUAUGGUGAAAAAGAUAAGGUGAGUGUGGUAAAAAGGGAAAAGAAAAACGAUAUACAGACGACUUGGUUCGAAACUAGCAUAGCUACCGUUCCCCGGCAACGGCGCCAGAAAGCUUGUUGGGUAUUUUAAACGCAAACAGAAAAAAUCCGCAAGCGCACGGAUACCAAUGUAGCCUUCACCCAGGAGUAUUCCAGAGUAUCGAUUUUCCACAGGGAACAUGAGUGUACUAAUUAAGAAUCAAGAUCGCCCAAGGAUAACUAUAUAAGUAUUUUUGGUGGGAAGAGAGGAAGUUUCCUGAGAGUUCUCUAGUUGAUCUAAGAAUCAAGAAUUACUUCAAGAUUAUUUAUAUCGGGACAUCAGAGCACUAACCACAGAAAGAAAUGAGAAGGGGGCUAGGAAGGUCUAACUACGGUCCUACAAACAACGAUCCGAACGAGGUGGAAUACGUCGACCGUUAGGGCUAUCACUACCCUAAGGCUACCACAACAAUCCGCAGUAUUGGGUGCAAUUCCAAGUAAUUGCAAGACUAAACACCACGUCUAAUCUAUUAAUUACUACUCUAAUGUUUCAAAGAUUAGAGCACUUGAUGCAAGCGGGAAUCCAAUAAACAACUUGAAUGUAAAUAAAAGUAAUUAAAGAACUUAGGAGUUAUGAAUUGAAGAACCUGGAGAACGAUGAAGAACGAACCAAUUGCUGCAAAAGUACAAUGUUGAGGAAGAUCCGACAGAUCCGGCUCCUCCUCCGCUCUCCUCUUCUCUCUCCCUAUUUUCAAGAUUACAACUAGAACUAACUAUAACUAGAACUAGAGGAACUAGAACUAGAUGAACUAGAACUAGAUCUAGAUGAACUAGAGGUAGAACUAGAAGAACUAGAGGGAUCCUCUCUACUUGGAUGAAGAAUUGAAACCCUAGCUUUGAUUCUGUAGAAGAGGUAUGAUCUCCAGGGGCCAGGGGGUCUGGUUUUAUAGUCCCUUCAAGUGAAUAUGGGCCGUUGGAUUAAACCGACAUUAAUCGCACGGUUUUCCUUGAUCCUUUAGGUCGGUGGAGUGUAAUCCCUGAAUUGGACUCUGAUUGAGCACUGUAGUAGGGCGGGCGCCCUCAGGACUAGGGCGGGCGCCCUAUGCCUGAGCCCUCUCGGCCUCUGCUUCGUUCCCGUGGCUUCUGGAGUCUUCUAGAUGAUAGAAAAUUGUGCGGCACGUUAAUAUCUCUACGUAAACCCGACGUAUGGGCCUUUCUUCUAUAUUUCCUGAUAACCCCCUGCAGAAAUAGACAAACACCAAAACUCAUGCAAUUCUGUUAGAUAAAACCCUAAGUCCUUUUCCAUGAUUAGUUGAUGGUUAAAUGUGAGCAUUAAGGACCGUCAACAGUGGGUCGGCCGACCUACCCUUGGGGGGUUGGCCCACCACCUUGCUCCACAUAUUGUCCCCACUUGUCAUCUUUAAUCUUUUGUUGAUCUGUGGUGGUUUUGGUUCUUGACCAUCUUUGCUUCAUUUGAGCUUGGUCAGGCUUGAUUAGUUGCUAUUUGCACCUGCAUCCAAAUAAUGACGUGUACAUGUUGAACCAAGUUAUUUGUACCUAAGUCACUAUGUGUUUAGUGAUUUCCUUCCAGAAAGAAUGUAUUGUUGAUGGUUUUGAUGGGGUAAAAAUAGGGCUUAUCUACCAUCAACAAGAACCCCCCACACUUAAGUUUUUGCUCAUCCUCGAGCAAAGGUUAGAGAAAGAUAACCUAUGAUUAUGACAAUUUAAGAUAUAAGCAAACACAAAGACUACUCAAGACAUAUCUUAUACAAGUGGGUUAUGUGUAACUGUCUAACAUAUAUCCUUAGGAUGUUGAAAAUUGGAACAGUUCUCAAAGCAAAGUCAUCUUCCCAUUUUCAUAUCCUUAGUACUUAGAGUUUUUCAUAAAUGUUUUAAAAGAAAGCACAUAGUUCAUCCUUACUCCUCUAAUAGUACUAUCAAGUCACUCAGUAAGUAUAGGAUUCCUCACCAAGGCAUAGCAUAAGAUUGCCUUCUUUUGUUUCAUCCUACAUCUAUUAGGUUUAUGUGGGGCUCAGGUAGGGAGAAACAAGAUAGCAUACUUGCAUUGUAUCUAUUGUAAAGCCAAAACAAGGAUCCAAGGAGAAGAAUGUCAUAAUCCUAGAUCAAGAUGUGUAAGUGUGUGAAAAAUGAUUAGAAUAGAAUGCUCCUAUAUUUGAUAAGAUCUCUCUCUCUAUUUUAUUUGAGACAUGGCUGGCUUUUUUUCUUAUUUUUAAAAGCAAAGGACCUUCAUGUGCCCACUUUUUUUUUACUAAGCAUAGCCUUGGUGUCUCAUCUUAUAAACAAUACCUAGAGAGAGAUAUUCUAAACCUUAAAACAUGGAGCACCUAUAUGGUGAAAUGGAUGGCCUGUUUUUGCGUACUUCUAGUGUAGAAGCAGCAUAUAUAUGUGGUGUGUGUGUUUGAUCUUGAUCUUGGGACUAUGACAUAAUUCUCAACUCGGGCCACAAGGUUUGACUAAACUCAACACAAGUACAUGUAGCAUAUAUAGAAGGGUUUUGAACAAGAUAUGAACAUAUAUGGCUGUGGUAGGAAUUCUCUUACUAUUGAGGAGUAAGUGACACUAUGGUUUUAUGAUAUUUUCAAAUGUAAAUCUCUAAGCACUUUGAAUAGAAAGGGUAUGAAUCAUGAGCUAAGAACUAUAUCGCAAUUGUCAACAACCAAGUCGAUAUGAUAUUCCUAUCAAGAUAUGUGACACACAAGUAUAAGCAUAUGCAAGAAUUAGACUUUGUGACACUUUUACCUUUUUAAUGUCAUGAAUCAUGUCACCCUUUUAAUGACAUAAAUCAUAGAUCCAAGUCUUCUUUUUUUUUUGUUUUAUUUUAUCUAAUAAAGCAAACAAGAGAUAGAAGUAAUAAAAAUGAAAGAAUAGAAGGGGAGUAGGAGUGGCAAACUAUUUAGAAGGCAGGUAGACGUUGAGUGGAUGUUGAAUGGUGGGUCCAGGGCUCCAAGGUGGGGUCGGCCGUCCCCACUUGGGUUUGCCCAUUGCUACCAUUUGAAUUCCCAUUGUUGAUGAUGUACCUAUGCAAGCUUGUGUUCCUGUUGGCCAUCAAAGAUGGGGUCAGCCGACCCCCUACUUAGGGUAGAAUUUGACGAGCCAACUUGCCUCACCAGUACUACGUCAUGGUGUGUUCAGGAAAUUCAGAGACUUAGUUGGGCGGCCACUUGACCCCCCACACUUGGAUUCUUGAGCAUUCUGAAUUCCAAAGACAUGGGAAACAUCAAGUUUAGGGGUCCUGCUGAUGGCAACACACCAAUGAGACCAAGUUGGGUCAUGGGUAAGUAGCUAAAAUCUUAUCAUCAAUUUAAAAGGGGAAAUGUCAAUCUUGUGUACCAUGGCAUAGAGCAACUUUAGUUCAUCAUAUUUUAGAGAGUCAGAAGAACCAACAAAAAGAUUGGUAGUAAUCUAGAAAUAAAUUAAGCACAAGGUUGGAUUGUGAAUUUUAGAGGUUAAGAGAGUGGAGCAAUCAUCAAAAUCUACUCUUGUUAAACCUAGGCGUGGUAGUGUCUAAGUCAUUUGUACAAUCAAAGUCACAACCUAGAGUAGUGGUUAGAAGACCCCAAGUACAGCUACACUCUUGCCCACACAAGCGAAAUGUUAUGAGUCAGUUUUAGUGCGCAUAAAAAUUCUUUAUUGAGCACUUAUAUACCAAGUUUAAGCUACUCACCAAAAACCUCCCAAACCAAUGGUAUUAAAAUAUCUUUGAAUUCUUUAGUCAUACCUGUGCGGUCCACAAGGGUCAGGUCGAGGAUGCGUCUAUGGUGGAAACCGCUCUCCUUUAGGUUGUUGAACUUGAUCAACUUUUCUGGUGUUAAUAUGAUUUCAUUCUUGAGGCUCCAUUGCUCUUGGAGGAGGUUUGUAGAGCACCACUUGAUGGUGACUCUCCUCUUCCUCCAUCCUCUCAUGGCUUCCCUCAUUAGAGUGGUGAGAGCUUUGAGAACAACUCUCACCCCCCUUGGACUUCUAGAAUCAGGAGAGGAAUGCUUUCUCCAUUUUCCUCCACAGCACAGACAACCAAACUUUUUCCUAUUUCUACUCCUAUGCAAUACUAAAUAUUUUUUUGGUUUUUUAAGGACAACUAUUCUAAUAUUGAGAAAUAACUUGCAACUAAGAAGAGAGAAGAGGGAUUGUGAGCUCGAGAUAAUUUUGGUGGUUUUGGGUGUGGAAUUGUUGGGUAUUCUUAACAUCAUUACCAAAAGUAGACAGUUUUCUAAUUCUAGCAACGGUGCCAAAAAUGCCAAACCUAUCCCUCAUACCACUUAAGCCAAGUUGUCAUCCCCAGCAUGACAUGAGAGACGCGGUAUUGAAAUGUGCAAUUGCUCUUCUAAAUAAAUAAUGAAUAGGAUCUGCAAGCGCAUAGAUUAAUGCCGAUGUAGCAUUUUAACCGGGAAGUAUUCCAUGUAUCGUUAUUUAUAUUUUUACCACUGGGAAGGGAUUAGCAAUCAUCAAUAUUGAUUACAGAAUAGAAUAUGAGAUUGAGCAUCUAUCAUUGCAUGUAUAAUUGAGAACAGUUAUCUAACUCUUUCAUACAGGGAUAAGUGUCACAUAAAAGAUGUAUGAAGUAAUGAAUAAUGACAAAGAUAAUUAAUCUGGUCAGCCACAUAUAAAUAUGAUAAGCACCUGAAUUAGAUACCCUAGAAAGUCAUUAGCAUGGAAUUAGAAUGAACUACAAGAAUAUUUCCUAUGUUAUUCUCAACUAUAUAGUCUAGCAUUAUCAUAGUUAGUGCAAGCAUACUUAGCAAUCAUUGUGAGACAAGACUACGCCCAUGCAUAGUGAUAUUAGCAAGGUAAAUGAGAAACAUAGCAAUCACUCCUCUGUAAUAAUAUUGCUCUGCCAGCCCAAUACACGAGAGGGGGAUGAUAUAAGAAUCAAUGAAGCUCUCACAAUCACGAACUACCCCACGAUCUGGCAUAUUGGGUACAGUCGCAGAUAAAUACGGUAUAAGCACCACGCCUACACAAUAUCUAUCAUUUACCCAUGGAUCCGAUGGAUAAAUGCUAUACGAUCCUAAACAUGUAUAUAGAUCCAAUCUAACUAAGCCAAGUACAUAACUAUGAUAAACUAAGAACAAUAUAAUCUUGAAUAUAAACAAGUAGAGCAAAGUCAUAAGCAAUAUAUUGAAGUAGAACAAAGUCAUAUUCAUAAUAUUGAAGAACAAAGAUAAUUAGAAAGCAAUUAGAAGCACAAUUAGAGAAUUACCAAGAAUCCUCUUGACAGAUCCGGAAACCAAUCGAAGAAUGACACCUUCUAGUUCUAAUCCUGUGUAGCUAUGCUAAUCUAGAUAUCUAAUUGAUGUGUUGGCUCUAAUCUUGAUUAGGGGCUUCUUCUCCCUUGAGGAAUAAUGAAUUAGGGUUGAGAGGCUCUCUCCUCCAGGGGCCAGGGGGUCUGGUUUUAUAGUCCGUUCAAGUGAAUAUGGGCCGUUGGAUCAAACCGACAUAGAUUGUAUGGUUUAGAUUCAUCCUUUAGGUCGGUGGAGAUCUCCCACGAAGCAGAGUCCUGAUUGGACUCAGGGAGGGGGCGGGCACCCAGGGGAACAGGGCGGGCGCCCUGCCUCUGGCCCCGUUUCGUCUCCGCUUCGGUCUCGUGGCUUUUGGAGUCUUCUAGAUGUAAGAUAAUUGCACGACACGUUAAUAUAUCUAUGUAAUCCCGACGUGUGGGCCUUUCUUCCGUAUUUCUUGAUAACCCCCUGCAAAAAUAGACGAACACCAAAACUCGUGGAAUUCUGUCAGAUAAAACCCUAAGUCUAGAUGUUGAUUUCAUUUGGAUCCUUUUCUUUGUUUAUUUGAUUAUUAAAUUUGAUACUUAAGGACCGUCAACAAACUCCCCCAAGCUUACCUCUUGCUCAUCCCUGAGCAAGGAUAGACUCAGCAAUGGAUCAGAAGUUGUUGCAAUAUCUUUUAAAAAUUGACGGUACACAUGCUUUUUAAAUAAGAUCUCAUCUCUGAGUUAGAGUAAACUGUCGAGACUUAAAACUUACUUACUUUACCUUUCACCAUGGGACUUGUAACCGUCACUUCUGUCUUGAGUAGUUAAAAGAUAGAACAGUCUAGCCAAGUGCCAUGUCUCUUAUUGUUGAUCAGCUAUAUCUCUGGUGUUUUUGCAAAUUUUCAAAUAAAACUCAGAGACUCCUUGUAUGACUCUCUCAUAUCUCUCUUUUGUGGUAUUUUUGGAUCCUUACCAAGGCAGUGAUGGUAUAUGCCUUUUCUCAAGAUAUGUAGUAUUUGUGGUAUAAAGCAUAGUGACAUUGCCUUCUCUCUCACCCUACUCUAAUAAGGCUUUAAUAUUUGGAGCUCAUAUGUGGGAGAUAAAAUAUACAUACUUACAAGACAUUUAUUGUAUAGUCAAACCAUGGAUCCAAAGUAACAAGUCAAUAAGUUUAAUCAAGAUGUGCAUGUGUGGCGAAUGAAUGGUGUAUGGUGAUGAUGGUGGUAACAGUGGUGAAAGUCUAAUUCUACUUUUGGUCUUUGAGGGGAUAUAUAUACCUUCCUUGCUUUUUGAAUAGUGAGGAGAAUGAGAUGCUCUUCAUUUUCUUUCCUCACAGGUGGGUAUCUCAUACCCCUAAUUCUACUGUCGGACACUUGUCCAUUUUUACCUCUCGUCUCACAUUUUCUUUUCUUUCGAGGUUCCGAGCACUUGCUCCUUUUUAUUUCCUCGUAUCUCUCUUUUUUUAGAGCACUCAUCUCUUGAGAUAAUAUAGCAAGUGGUAGUAACAAGAUAACUUGAGCAUUUAUUUCACAGGGGAAAAUAGAAAUAUUUUUUAUUAUUCUCUCCCGGGUUAGGAGUAGAAUAUUUUUAGGUGGUUCUGGAGAUGGAAAUGGAUGGAUAUAUGUGGAUGGUACUUCCGGAAUAGAAGUAGCAUAUAUGAGUGAACGUGCAAGUGAAACUUGAUUUAACCACAUGACAAGCUCCUAAGGGUCUACACAGCUUGACCACACUCAAUGCUCAUAAGCAGUAAAUAGUAAAUGUGUGGCUCAAAGUCUAGCAAGCAUGUAUAUUUGGCUGUGGUAGGAAUUUAAACUCUCAUCAUACAGGAACUCAUCAUGCAAUAUUUUAAAGAUUUUCAAAGAUAAAAUUCUCUAGAAUUCUAGCAUCUCUAGGAACAGAUAAAUAGCAGCUCAACCUUCCCAUAUCGUAUCUGUUAACAACUUAGACUUCAGAUCAAGUUUUCAUCCCACA